rnacentral:rRNA from 1 species
AUGGAUUUCGCCAAGGAAGUGGUUCUUCCCGCUGCUCUGUCCGAGCUUCUCUCCAGGCUCUUCUCCUUCGCGCUCGGCAACUUCCCUCGGCUAACCAGUAGGGGGGAAGCGCACCGGCGUAGGCUGGAGCGGCUCCUCCUGACCAUCGGUGGCACGGUGGAGGAGGCGGAGGGGCGGCACAUCACCAACGACCACCUCCUCUCUCAACUCAAGGAGCUCACCGAUGGCAUGUACCGUGGCCGCUUCGCCCUCGAGGAGACGGACCUCGACGUUGCCAUGGACGAUAACGACGACGUUGUCGACCGUCGACGCUCCUUUGCGCUCUGUUCGCCGUUCAACGGCGCCAAGCGUCUCCGCGUCACAGGCAUGGUCUUCGGCCGGGACAACCACGGCGACAAACUCGAGGCUGCCAUCGAGGAUCUGGAGAGCCUGACCCGCGACUGCAUGCGAGGGUUCGUGCUGCUGGUGCAGGGGUACCCACGGCGGGUGCGCCGGCCGGUGACCACCACCCUGUACAUGGACCGGUGCGUGUUCGGGCGGCACGUCGAGACAGAACGCGUGGUCAAUUUCUUGCUGCAGCCGUCCCCUGCCGGUGCUCCUCCGUACCUAAGCGUCCUCCCCAUUAUCGGCCAGAUCAAGGCCGGAAAGACCACGCUCGUCAAGCACGCCUGCGACGACGAGCGCGUGCGCGGCCGCUUCUCCGUCGUCGAGUGCUUCGAGCUGCACCAUGUCAUCAGGGAGGGCGGGCGCCCGGGCCAGACCAUGUGGGCGAGCGACGGCGCCGAGUACCUCGCCGGCGUGCGCAGCAUCCUUGGGAAGGAGAGGUUCGCCGCGCGGAGAUCGCUCCUCAUCUUCGAGGACGCGUGGCCCAUCGACUCGUCGGCGUGGAGCGCGCUCGCCGCGUCACCCACGGCCUGCACCUUGGCAGCCGGGAGCAAGCUCCUGCUCACGAGCUGCGACGCCGACCACGCGUGGCUCGGUACGGUGGAGCCCGUGGUGCUGAGCCCGCUGCCGCAGGAGGAGUACUGGUACUACUUCAAGGCGUUCGCGUUCAGCGGCAUGGACGCCGGGGACCACCCGAGGAUGGCUGCCAUGGGCAGGGAGAUGUCCCGGCAGCUGGGCGGAACGUUCUCGGGCGCGAGGACGGUGGGCACGGUGCUCAGGUCUAAAUUCGACGCCCGGUUCUGGCAGCUUCUCGUGAAAGCAUGGCCAUUUCGAGGGAUUUGGGGGCCCGGUUUUGGUGAAUGA